rnacentral:rRNA from 1 species
AACGAACGCUGGCGGCAGGCUUAACACAUGCAAGUCGAACGCUCCGCAAGGAGAGUGGCCGACGGGUGAGUAACACGUGGGAACGUACCCUUUACUACGGAACAACUCCGGGAAACUGGAGCUAAUACCGUAUGUGCCCUUUGGGGGAAAGAUUUAUCGGUAAAGGAUCGGCCCGCGUUGGAUUAGCUAGUUGGUGGGGUAAAGGCCUACCAAGGCGACGAUCCAUAGCUGGUCUGAGAGGAUGAUCAGCCACAUUGGGACUGAGACACGGCCCAAACUCCUACGGGAGGCAGCAGUGGGGAAUAUUGGACAAUGGGCGCAAGCCUGAUCCAGCCAUGCCGCGUGUGUGAUGAAGGCCUUAGGGUUGUAAAGCACUUUCACCGGAGAAGAUAAUGACGGUAUCCGGAGAAGAAGCCCCGGCUAACUUCGUGCCAGCAGCCGCGGUAACAC